rnacentral:lncRNA from 1 species
AUUGAAUCACCCUUUCCUGCUCGUAAUUUAUUUGUGUUAUUUUUUAAAUUUGGUCUCUAAAUAAGACAAAUGUUUAUGACCUCUGUUAAUCAGCAUUGCAAUUAUAUCUAUAUAUUUAUAUACUUAUAUGAAUACGUAAAACUGGAAAUUUGGAUUUAUACUGAAAAAGUCACAGAAUAAUUGCAUUAUGGUCAUGAACACUCAUUUCCAAAAAAAAGUGGUAUGGAGUUGUUUCUCUGUUUCUAAACCCCAUCUC